AAUUUGAAGAACUCCCAGCAUUGCAGCAAACACUGGCUUUGCAACGUAUGGCACUGUUUACCAGGGUUGAACCUGCUCAUAAAAGGAUGCUAGUGGAGGCCUUACAGAACCAAAAUGAAGUGGUGGCAAUGACUGGUGAUGGUGUUAAUGAUGCACCAGCCCUAAAGAAAGCAGAUAUAGGAAUUGCCAUGGGGUCUGGAGCAGCAGUUGCAAAGAGUGCUUCUGAUAUGGUUUUGGCUGAUGAUAAUUUUGCUUCUAUUGUUGCGGCUGUUGCGGAGGGAAGGGCUAUAUACAAUAACACAAAGCAAUUCAUC
rnacentral:misc_RNA from 1 species